GGGACGAUCAGCGAUUCACUUGAUCUGAGCGUCUAUGUGUCACAGCAAAUGUCUACCCAGCUAUCCCAGACUCAUCUGUCAUCUUUCAACCAUCUAUCUACAACUACACAAGGAAUUGUUCAAAUGCACAUACUACUUUAGCUUUUAGUGUUCAAAUAUUAACUACCAGCUACCUUCCUUCUGCACUUUCCUCUCUGUGACUCUCCAGCACCAACUACCCAAGCCUCAUUGCUCUGUGAGGGUUGUGAGCAUAUUCUCACAGAAAGACUUUGCAACAUCCCUUCCACUGGACCAGGAAGGGGUCCCAUGGUAUAUCUUCUUCCCUUGACCCCUCCAAAAUCUUAGAAUGUCAUUUCAAGCCAUCCAACUUAAACUUUUAUCAUCAAUUAUAUGGCUCCCAUUCUCACAGUAUUUAAUCAUCAUCCAACAUAGUAUGUAACAUGUCUGACAUGAUUCCUGUAUCAACCUUUAGAAUAAAGUUCCAUUUUAUCAGU
ensembl:antisense Gm13595 predicted gene 13595